rnacentral:lncRNA from 1 species
UUUUUUUUUUUUCUGUCUUUUUGCUAUUUCUUGGGCCGCUCCCGCGGCAUAUGGAGGUUCCCAGGCUAGGGGUCCAGUCGGAGCUGUAGUCACCGGCCUACGCCAGAGCCACAGCAACGCGGGAUCUGAGCCGCGUCUGCAACCUACACCACAGCUCACGGGAACACCGGACCCUUAGCCCACUGAGCAAGGACAGGGACCGAACCCGCAACCUCAUGGUUCCUAGUCGGAUUCGUUAACCACUGCACCACGACGGGAACUCCUAGACUGCUUUUUAAAUUGUAUUUAUUUAUGUAUUUAUUUACUUACUUACUUUUUAGGGCCACACCCAUGCCAUGUGGAGGUUCCCAGGCUAGGGGUCAAAUAGGAGCUGUAGCUGCCGGACUACAUCACAGCUCAUGGCAACGCCGGAUCCUUAACCCACUGAGCAUGGCCAGGGGUCAAACGUACAUCCUCAUGGAUCCUAGUUGGGUAUGUUACUGCUGAGCCACAACAGGAACUCCCAGGUUAGCCUGCUUUUAAUUCAACAUAUUGUCCUUUCCCCAGUUCCUUAGUCACAGAAUCAACUUCUCUACCUGUGAUGAAGGUGAAGGUCUCAGAGCAUAAAACUGUGCCCUAAACAAUACAUUUGGGAAGAUGCUAUGCAGCCAGGUCAGCCCAACUGAACGGAAAUGAAAUCCCGUCGGUUGAGAGAAGAAAGGGAAAGGCGGUCAAGAGAGUGGGUCAUUGCCAUGUGGUUCCGGAAAGCGCCCUGCCUCUUGCUCCUCCUGGGCCAUCUGGGGCUAAGCCCAGAGAGGGAAGAUGACAGAGAGUAACCCCGCUAGCUGGGAAGACCCAAGAGCCCGUGUAAAACCUUUGAAAUCCAUAAGACCUCGAAGUGCCUUGAGCCCAAGGGAAGUAACAGAGCAGAAAUUAGUACGUGGCGUAUCAAGGCAGACAUUACAGCUUGAUGUUUUCGGAGGACCAGAGCAAGGCAAAGGAGCCUCAUCAGAAUGAGCUGGAGGAAGCAGGGCCCCCUACAUCCCUGUCUGGAGGCCAGGUGGGGACGGGACAGGGCACAUGCUGACAGGUGAUUAUCCACCACACCCCUUUCCAUCAGCCCCAACCCCAAAGUGACUAAGAUUGCUUCUGCAGCUUACACUAAACAGAAACUGAAAUGGAACAGCCAUCAAAAGUUGUAUUGUUUGCAAAGCCUGAAAUGACUGCUCACUAUAGGAGUUACACACAAAGGGCUUGUGCACGUAGUAGUUCCACGAUACACUCUAAGUAUCUCCAUGAUUACUGGUGACUGGGAAUACUUCACUCCGCCUUCUUUCUCCAGAGAAGUGGAGGCACUAACCUUGAGCACUGAAAAUAAGGGCAGGGCGUAAUAACAGAGCACAAGUUGGAGAACUACUGGAUUUUCCUCAAUGGAAAACAAAUGAGAGACCCCUGCACUCCACACCCUCCCACUUAGAGUAGCCAUGCUCUUCUUCAGCCAGUACUCAUGCUCCUUUCUCAGGAUGGGCUAUCUCUCCCCAUCUCCUUGACGUUGGCCUUGGUCACGUGACUUGCCUUGACCAGUAGAAUAUGGCACACCAGCUAGCAUGUGGCUGAGUACUAAGAAGAGGCUCUGAGAGGCCUCUUUUCAUGUCCUGUCUUGCCUUCCUGCCAUCCUCCAGCCUGGAUCUCCACAUGAAAGAUACAAGGAGCAGACCUGAACCUGACCUGAAGCUUGGAACCAAGCCUGGCCAAGUGCAGUGGAGUCUAGCAAGACACAGCUGAGCCUCGGCUGACCCAGGAUGCACGAAAUUAAUAUUUGCUUUCAUAAGCCAUCAAAAUUUGAGGUUGUUACUACAGGAAAAUCUAAUUCGCCACCAAUGAAGAUGAUUCUUCAACAUAUCAAAGUAAAGAAAGGAAAGAUGGAAGGUGAAACAAGGGCAAGAAAAGAGUCUAAUGAAAUGAGGGGAAAUUGCCUUUUCAGGGACUUGACCAGCAGUGGUAAUGUGAGUGGCAUGGCACCCUAGCUAGUAAAGCAGGGGUGAAGUGGGAGAGAAAUAGAGUCGUAUAGAGGUCUGAGAGCCUUUGUGACCCCAAAGAGAAGGAUGAGUUCAGAGAAACACAUUUCUUCACCCUCAGAUUCUUUCUGCCUUUAAAUCUCUCCAUUUGGUGGAAUUUAACUCCCUUCUGAGCAGUAAGCUUGGUAAACUUUAAAGCCUUGCAAUGGAUUCUGCAUUGCAAGAUCUCCUAUUCCUAUUUAAAAUGCAGCAGGAUGUACGUUUGCUAUUGAUUUGGGUUUGCGAUUUGAAUUGUUCUUGUGUAGGUAUUUGCCAAAGAACAGAUGUUUUCUCCAUGUGUCAUCUGAGAUGGGUUAAGUAUGCCCAGGAGGGUACGGCUGACAUAGAGGUCUCUCCCUGAGCAGACGGGUUAGUUAUAAAUUGCUCUGCACUUUUUCCUAACCCUGUAACAGCUGAAGUAAAACCUAGCAGCUGAACAGUUAACCCAUUUGUUUAAUUUGAUUUUGAUUUUUCCAUUAAGCUCUCAUGAUUUAUUUAGAUAGGUCCUGAAAUACCGAAUGGAAAUGUGAAGAAUUGGGCAUAAAGGGGGAUUAAGAACCAAAAUAUGAGUUGAAUGAAAUCUAUUUUGCAAAGCUCCAGACCUGUCCAAUAAAUCGCGGGGGGGAAACUUGCUCAAAAUUACUCCUUGAGUAGUUCUGAGCAGCAAUAUUACAUCUGUGUUUCUGAACUCACGGGCUUCAAGGAACAGCUUCUUUCUCGGGGCUGUGCUUCAAAACCUCACAAUUAAAGCCGGACGCUGGCCAAGGUGUAAACCAUAAAGCUCCCCUAGAAACACCCAGAAUCUGUGCUCCAGACCCCUCUGACAUCAGAUCCACCUCAAGAGGGACUUUCUCCAUAACGCUUCAUCCCACCCUCCCUCCAGAGACAGCCCUGGUCCUGCUCUCCCAGAGGAUCUUUCCAAGGCACACAGGCCAGCCCUUGUUAGUUUCCCCCACUGAUGUCCUUUGUUCCCAUCUGGCCAAUCACACUUCAGGCCACCUUUCUGCACCCAGCCCCUCCCCUCCUGCCUGCACCCAAAGCAGGAAAGAUGGGGAAGGACAGGCCACUUUUACCUCCCUGUCCUCUUUAGGUUGAUCCCUGUGUUUGCAGAGAGGUGACACCGAGUGGUGAUUCAGAGCAAGUAUCUGAGACCAGGGUGCCCUGGACUUAAAAGCUGGCUCCAUCCUACUGGAAGUGAGACCUUGGACCCAUCCCGUCAUUUCCCCAUCACCUCCCAAAUGAGGAUGAGAAGAGCACUCACCUCAAGGGGUAUUUGAAGGAGACACAAGAGCUGGCACCUGAUGAGCCCUCGGUUGCCAACAACAGCUAAGCCUUGCUCUGAGGUGAUGCCCCUUGUUAAGCUGACAGAGAUUUCCUGGGUGCUGCCCACGUGCGGGGCAUGGUACCUGAUGCUGGGACUAUUGUGUGAAAAGGUACCGACCUGAUCCUGGGAGAUCUUUCAGGCUGGCAGGGAGAGGAGCAAAUGCUAAAGCAUAGGGAGACCCACUGAGGGACUAACCCAUGGGUGCACCGGAGGCACACAAACCAAGCUUGGCCAAGGGCAAGGAAGCCCAUGGAAGAAGUGAGGUCUCCCCCUGAGAUUUAGAGGGUGAGACUGUGUGGGUAAAAGAGCAGCUGAGCCAAAGGAGGUGGGGGCAGGGGGGCAGCACGUGCAAAGGCCCAGAGGUGGGAGGUGCCUGAGUCGGGUGAGAAGGGCAAGAGAAGACAGCGUGUGAGGCAGAGCAGGAAGGAUGGAGCAGCUCAAAGCAGAGGCAGUGUGCCUGGAUGUUCCUGAAGCCAUGAGGCAGUGAUUGCAUCAUAUUUCCUUCUUCCAAAGCUCUUCAGAGAGACACGGGAAACGGGAUUAGAGAUAAGAUCAGAGGCUGCAGACAGCUGUGCAAACUGUGCCCCAAAUGACAGCGCCAGACCAAGACGGAGCGUGGGGUGGGCCCCAGCAAAGCCAUGCUCACCACGUUGGGUCCUUGCACAAGGAAGAGGUCUGUCCAGAGAAACUGAAGGAACAUUGUAAAUCAACUAUACUUUAAUAAAAAAAAUUAAAAAUAAACAAUAAACUCCUCUUUUUUCCCACCCAACUCCACGGGCCUGGACAGGAUUUUCCAAUCCAAGGGGCCCCCACUUUUGGUCUUUCACACUUAAUUUAUCAAGACUUCCUAGUGGACAGCAUUUCUGCUGUCACUGCCACCAGCCUCACAGUCCCCUGAAUAUCUUUGCCACGUGGCCAUUGCCUUUAUUAGCGAUUUCCCAAAAGAUCCCCUGAAAAAGUUUUGCUAAUGACUUGGGAGUGCUUUCAUGGUUUUCAAAGGAUUAUAGAAAAUUCUCAUGGCUGUUGAUGGGUCAGGGCUUAAUCUCAUUGACUUCCUUUUAGUCUUUGGUCUGACAACCAAUAACUGGAAUUAUCAUGAUAACGACACGACGUUUUUAAAGGCCAUUUACCUUACUUCAAGUGACCCUCACAACAACUUUAUGAGGGAGGCUUUUUCUCUGAGGAGCCAGGCUCAGGAAAAUAAAGUGACCUCCCGAAGGUCACACAGCUAGUAAAUUGUAGAACUGAGAUGCAGCUGGGACUUUCAAAGCCAAGGUCUUUUACCCAACACCAAACUCCAGGACAAAAGGAAGAGUAAAAAUGUUAGCCAGGUUGUGCUUCUAUUUUUUUUUUAGAUGAUGGACAAUUUCAACUAUAAAAAUAGAGACAAGAGAACAGUGGCAUGCUCAAGACAGUUCCUACCAGCUCCCAAGACCUGAGUUAAAUAUUCAGAAAGUUUGCAAGCUGCCAAUCAAACCCUUGGUUGUUUGAAGCAGGCCAUGGUGGAAACAUUACAGACAGUGGAAUAUGCUUCAAAUUAGGGCUUCCCGCUUCCCCAGCCAGCUUCCCAGCACAUCGCUGCUGACCCUAUUCACCACCUUCCAAAAUGAUCAGCUGCUGACCAUCCUGUUCUGUCUACUCCAACACUCACUGAUUUCUUCUUGUCCCUGAGGGCUUACUUUGAUGCAAUUCCCAGACACUGUAUCAUUUCACCUAAAGAUACUUCAAUAAGUAUGUCUAAAUAAUGACUCUUUUCCAGGAGUUCCCUUCAUGGCUCAGCGGUUAACGAACCUGACUAGGAUCCAUGAGGAAGUGGGUUCAAUCCCUGGCCUCGUUCAGCAGGUUAAGGAUCCGGCAUUGACAUGAGCUGUGGUGCAGGUCACAGAUGUGGCUCAGAUCCUGUGUUGCUGUGGCUGUAUGUAGGCCAGCAGCUGUAGCUCCAAUUCCACCCCAGCCUGGGAGCAUCCAUGGGUUGUGGGUGUGGCCCUAAAAAGAAAAAAAAAGACUCUUUUCCAACAUAUCCAAAACACCAUGACUACACCCCCAAAGACCCCAUGAUUUCCUAAAAAUCAUCAAAUAUCCAACUGAAGAUUUCUAUAUAGUUGGUUUUUGAAUUGGGAUCCAAAAAAGAGUUGCUGAUACUUUUUCUCCACCUGUCUCUUGACCCUUGAGUCUCUUUUAGUCAAUAAGUUUCUAUCUUAGUUGUUAUUUUUGCUUUUUAGGGCCACACUCGCUGCAUAUGAAAGUUCCCAGGCUAGGGGUGUAAUCCGAGCUGCAGCUGCUGGCCACAGCCACAGUCACAGCAACAUAGGAUCCGAGCCAUGACUGUGACCUACACCACAGCUCACAGCAACACCGGAUCCUUAACCCACUGAGCGAGGCCAGGGACUGAAGCCCCAUCCUCAUGGACACUAGCCGGGUCAUUACUGCUGAGCCACAAUGGGAAUGCCAGUUUCUAUUUUAGUUUGCUGGGGCUGCGGCAGCAGAGUUCGACAGCGGGUGGUUUAAACACAGAACACAUCUCACAGUUCCAGAAGUCCAAGGUCAAGGCACAGCAGGGCUGCUCUGAUCCGGGGGCCUGGAAGGGAGAGUCUGGUCUGUGCCCCUGGGCUUCCUGUGCCCUGUGCCCUGUCUUCAUCUUCCUUAGUUUGUAGAAGCACCACCGUCCCCUCAGUCUCCAUUUUCAUCUUCACAACAUAGCCUUCCUGUGUGCAUGGCUGACUUCAAAUGUCCCCUUCUCAUAAGGCACCCAUCACGCUGGAUCAGGGCCCAGUCUAAUUUUAUUUUGUAAUUAUAUACGAUAGUUACUGAAGUCCAUAGGCAAGUCAACAAAACAAGGUAAAUUCUGGUCCAUUCCUGCCUCUCCCACCUGUUCCUUCCCCCACCCCGAGAAAUCAUUUUUUGGUUAGUUUUUGCUUUAUCUUACUAUAAAAUUAAUUGAGCAAAUAGGACUCUGUGUGUGUGUUUGUGUGUGUGUAUGUGUUUCCCCUCUUUCUUAUUGUUCAGGAGGGGGGACACUUUCUCCCCAGCCCCCAACCUGUCCCUUCCCCUUAUAAAUAACCAUUUUUGUUAAUUUUUGUUUUAUCUUAAUGUAAAGUAAAUUAAGAAAAUAGGACUGUGUGUGUGUGUGUGUGUGUGUGUGUGUGUGUGUGUUUUUCCCCUCUUGCUGUUGGGGAGGGGGACACUCUCCCCCCCGCCCACUUGGUUCCUUUGCCUGGCCUAAUUGUUAAGGUGACACAGGACAAACUACAGAGGGAAGAAAACAAAUUUGUGUGUAUAGCAAUCUCAUAGAAAUAGGACCUGUGAAGUGACAAAAGCAGGCUGUUUAUAUACCAUUUUU